UUUCAAAAAAAACUUAUGGUGUACAUCCACGUAUUUGUUACAUACCUUCUCUCCCUUUCAGUCCAAAACCACUGCCACUCAUCUCAUCCGGUUUGAAGAUCAGUACCAACCACCGCCGACGAAGGCAGUCCUUAAACGUUUAAUCCCUAAAAUCAAACCUCUCGAAAUACGGUGAGCAAAGAAGUUGUCAAGGUUUAUGCUAAACCCUAAGAAAAGGCCAUACCCCUGUUUCUUCGUGUCUUUCUCAGUCAGAGGAUGAGGUGUGGACCCGUUGGGGGCUAUGGUCUAUGAUGAAACUGGUGACGCAAAUUAUGACUUGGUUUACUUAUGUUCCGUGCUCUACAUGUGAACAAUGUGGCAAGCAUCAGGGACACAGAUGCAAUAGUAGACGUUUCACCUAAAGUCGUUGGGGCAGGCACAACCCGCAACAACAACCGCAGGUACAUGAGGUCACUCACACGUGCACUGUAAAAAAAUUAACUUUAGCCGCCCACGGGGCUGUGGCCGCUGGUCACGGGGCCGUGGUCGUUGUGCAGACGGGUAUAAACCCAUUUUCUUCUUCAUUUGUUCAUUUCACCACAACCUGUUUCCCCGAAAAACCUAUGGUUCCUCUGCGAUUUUCUGCCAUUUUCACGUUUUCCUUCCACUCAACAUCUUCAAGGUAUGAUUCUAACAUCUUUUGUAGUUAAUUUAACGAUUUGCAUGAAGAUUAACACCAAAAAUUUGGGGAAAAUCUAGGGCUCUUGAACUAGAACCGAACUAAACCCUAAAUUUUUUACUAGAUCUAGUAGUAGUAGUUUAGAUUCAUGUUAUAGAAAGUAAAUCAACCAUUAUUGUUCGUAGUAUCACCUGAUUUCAAGUAUAAACCAUGAACCCUUGUUUUUGAACCGAAAAAGUUAAAAUUGAUAGGUUAACGGUUUGUUUCUUUUUAAAAACGGCACUUGGGGGUUCAUUUUCUGGGGAAACCGCCCCUACUCAACCAAAAAUUUUCAACUUUUCGAAAUCGGGUCGACAUUUUAAGAUUUGCAAUAACAGUGACCUGACCACGGGGGCGUGGCCAAGGUUGGAUACUGAACACAGUGCGUAGUCAUUGACCACGGGGCCGUGUCCAGCUCCCUGUUUUCAGUUUUUCCGAAAUUUUAUCAUAAUGCACUGAUUGUUCUGUGGUUCUCUUUUGCAGCAAUGGCCAACAAGUUUCUGAAGUUCAAACAAGCAGAAUGGGAGUACCAAGCUCGAUACGACAUCCUAUAAACAAGGCCAGAAGAGGCACCAAAACAAGCAUGCUAUGACGCUCUUGAAACCGUGGGACAACAAGGCCGAUAUGAUACGCUAGUCACAGGACCACUCCGAGUAGCUCUUGGCACCAAGCUCCAUUUCGUCUACGAGUAUAACAUGGAGUUCUAUAGCACCUUCAAAUUCAAAGCCAAGGCAGACCCGUUUGACGAAGAUGGGGUUGAGUUCAGAUGCACUAGGGAGGUACUUUCCAUCUCCAUAGCCCAAUUUGGUGUGAAUGUGGGCUUAUUCACUCAGGAAGAGUCGUUUGAAGAAGAAUUCAUGGGUGGUCUUCGUGAAAUUCCGAUUAACAUGCGCCAAACUACAUGGGCUCAAAUUGGAGAUGGGCCAUACGAUCCAAGCGUCACCAAAAGCUCCCAGUUGUGGGAUCCCCUUUACCGCUACAUCCACCGGAUCCUAAGCAACUCCCUAUAUCAACGGCGUGAUAGUUCGGGUGUGGGGAUGGAUCUACCGUCUAUUCAAAACUUAUGUCCAUUGCAUGCCAAAAUCAUUCCAUCGGGGUGAGAGGUCCGGGGAGGUAGAUCUAGCCCAAUGCCGUUCCAUGGGACUCGUCCAAGAAAUGGAUGACGGGUCCGUCCGCUUCAGAAAUGCCCGAGGAAACACAUGGGGCCCGGAAGAAGCCUUAGCUUUCCAAGACGACCCAAACCGUCCUCCCCGUCAACACCAAAGCUACCAUGCGGGUUCCUCCUCUCAAGGAGGCGGGUUUCCUAACUUUCAAAGUUUAACUGAUCUUUUGCAGUAAAACCUUCUCUGUACUUGGAACACAUACAACAUGGCUAGCAACGCCUACACCCGGAUUGGAACGGUGGAACGUUCCGUCGCUACUAUGCAAGAUGAUGUCACAUACAUCCGGGAGCACAUGGCGUAUCGCGGUGAGGAGGUUGAAGAUGAUGAGGACAUGGAUUGAGUAGAGGCAAUGGAGGUGGUGUGGUAGGCGAAGGAUGCAGUUUCCGGUUAACCAUCUCUACUCUAUGAACAAUUUACUGGCCCGUGUGCCAUGGUUGAACAAUUUACUUUCUAGACACUUUUAUUUUCUUCAUUUUCUUUAGUUUUAUGUUUGUGGUGAUGAUGGAUUUGAAACGUUGGUAAAUUAGGAUGUUGGUAUUGUAUUA